rnacentral:lncRNA from 1 species
CCCUUCCCUUCCAGCCCCUUCCUUGGCUGUGUCCAUGCUCUGCAAGUUGCCAGCUGCUAAUAGCAUGCAGGUGGCUGCCUCUGUUUGCAGAGUUCUUUUGGCAAGGGGACAGGGAGCUCCCAGCUGCUGCCAGGUAGCACAGGCCUCCUGGCCAUAAAGGUGUGUUGCCUUCGUCACCUUUGGGCUCUGUAGCACAGGAGAUGACUUUGGCUGAAGCACGUUAUGUGAAUGGGUUGCACGUCAGCUACAGAACCGCUGUGGGAUCCAUCCACACCCAUCCCUGCAAGCACACUCUGAUAGGCCCUGGCGCCGUGCUGCGCUUUGUGUCAAGUUAAUGAUGGGCAUUUGCACGCACAGAUGUGUGAAGCCUGCCAGGACAUCAAGGCUUCAGACAUAUCUCAGGCACCUGGAAGCCAAGGAUGGCGUGGUGACAACUGGGGGCUCACGGAGAUGUCUCUGGCAGCUGUACAAGCAGCUGCACCAGAGCAAUGGGAAUACUAUGAUUUGUCUGGAAGAGGUUGGGAAAACUGAUGCCAGCCCUUGAAAAGAGGAUCUCUACUUUGUGCGUACUAGGAGUUGGCCAUCUACAACUAUAGCUAGCUACACUGAUACAG